rnacentral:rRNA from 1 species
GACGGGGGGGGCAAGCGUUGUUCGGAAUUACUGGGCGUAAAGGGCGCGUAGGCGGCCUAGGUAGUCUUGGGUGAAAGCCCCCGGCUCAACCGGGGAAUGUCCUGAGAAACCACUAGGCUAGAGUGCUGGAGAGGGAAGUGGAAUUCCCGGUGGAGCGGUGAAAUGCGUAGAUAUCGGGAGGAACACCAGAGGCGAAGGCGGCUUCCUGGACAGACACUGACGCUGAGGCGCGAAAGCUAGGGGAGCAAACGGG